rnacentral:rRNA from 1 species
GGUUAAGCGACUAAGCGUACACGGUGGAUGCCUAGGCAGUCAGAGGCGAUGAAGGGCGUGCUAAUCUGCGAAAAGCGUCGGUAAGCUGAUAUGAAGCGUUAUAACCGACGAUACCCGAAUGGGGAAACCCAGUGCAAUACGUUGCACUAUCGUUAGAUGAAUACAUAGUCUAACGAGGCGAACCGGGGGAACUGAAACAUCUAAGUACCCCGAGGAAAAGAAAUCAACCGAGAUUCCCCCAGUAGCGGCGAGCGAACGGGGAGGAGCCCAGAGUCUGAAUCAGUUUGUGUGUUAGUGGAAGCGUCUGGAAAGUCGCACGGUACAGGGUGAUAGUCCCGUACACCAAAAUGCACAGGCUGUGAACUCGAUGAGUAGGGCGGGACACGUGACAUCCUGUCUGAAUAUGGGGGGACCAUCCUCCAAGGCUAAAUACUCCUGACUGACCGAUAGUGAACCAGUACCGUGAGGGAAAGGCGAAAAGAACCCCGGCGAGGGGAGUGAAAUAGAACCUGAAACCGUGUACGUACAAGCAGUGGGAGCACCUUCGUGGUGUGACUGCGUACCUUUUGUAUAAUGGGUCAGCGACUUAUAUUUUGUAGCAAGGUUAACCGAAUAGGGGAGCCGUAGGGAAACCGAGUCUUAACUGGGCGUCUAGUUGCAAGGUAUAGACCCGAAACCCGGUGAUCUAGCCAUGGGCAGGUUGAAGGUUGGGUAACACUAACUGGAGGACCGAACCGACUAAUGUUGAAAAAUUAGCGGAUGACUUGUGGCUGGGGGUGAAAGGCCAAUCAAACCGGGAGAUAGCUGGUUCUCCCCGAAAGCUAUUUAGGUAGCGCCUCGUGAACUCAUCUUCGGGGGUAGAGCACUGUUUCGGCUAGGGGGCCAUCCCGGCUUACCAAACCGAUGCAAACUCCGAAUACCGAAGAAUGUUAUCACGGGAGACACACGGCGGGUGAUAACGUCCGUCGUGAAGAGGGAAACAACCCAGACCGCCAGCUAAGGUCCCAAAGUCAUGGUUAAGUGGGAAACGAUGUGGGAAGGCACAGACAGCCAGGAUGUUGGCUUAGAAGCAGCCAUCAUUUAAAGAAAGCGUAAUAGCUCACUGGUCGAGUCGGCCUGCGCGGAAGAUGUAACGGGGCUAAACCAUGCACCGAAGCUGCGGCAGCGACGUUUAGGCGUUGUUGGGUAGGGGAGCGUUCUGUAAGCCGUUGAAGGUGACCUGUGAGGGUUGCUGGAGGUAUCAGAAGUGCGAAUGCUGACAUAAGUAACGAUAAUGCGGGUGAAAAACCCGCACGCCGGAAGACCAAGGGUUCCUGUCCAACGUUAAUCGGGGCAGGGUGAGUCGACCCCUAAGGCGAGGCUGAAAAGCGUAGUCGAUGGGAAACAGGUUAAUAUUCCUGUACUUGGUGUUACUGCGAAGGGGGGACGGAGAAGGCUAGGCUGGCCGGGCGACGGUUGUCCCGGUUUAAGCGUGUAGGGGGAGUGACCAGGUAAAUCCGGUUGCUUAUCAACCCUGAGGCGUGAUGACGAUGCACCACGGUGCAGAAGCAGUUGAUGCCAUGCUUCCAGGAAAAGCCUCUAAGCAUCAGGUAACAUUAAAUCGUACCCCAAACCGACACAGGUGGUCAGGUAGAGAAUACUCAGGCGCUUGAGAGAACUCGGGUGAAGGAACUAGGCAAAAUGGUGCCGUAACUUCGGGAGAAGGCACGCUGGCGUUAGGUGAAAGGACUAGCUCCUGGAGCUGAAGCCAGUCGCAGAUACCAGCUGGCUGCAACUGUUUAAUAAAAACACAGCACUGUGCAAACACGAAAGUGGACGUAUACGGUGUGACGCCUGCCCGGUGCUGGAAGGUUAAUUGAUGGGGUCAGCCGCAAGGCGAAGCUCUUGAUCGAAGCCCCAGUAAACGGCGGCCGUAACUAUAACGGUCCUAAGGUAGCGAAAUUCCUUGUCGGGUAAGUUCCGACCUGCACGAAUGGCGUAAUGAUGGCCAGGCUGUCUCCACCCGAGACUCAGUGAAAUUGAACUCGCUGUGAAGAUGCAGUGUACCCGCGGCAAGACGGAAAGACCCCGUGAACCUUUACUAUAGCUUGACACUGAACAUUGAGCCUUGAUGUGUAGGAUAGGUGGGAGGCCUUGAAGUGUGGACGCCAGUCUGCAUGGAGCCAACCUUGAAAUACCACCCUUUAAUGUUUGAUGUUCUAACUCGGCCCCAUGAUCUGGGGUGAGGACAGUGUCUGGUGGGUAGUUUGACUGGGGCGGUCUCCUCCCAAAGAGUAACGGAGGAGCACGAAGGUUAGCUAAUCACGGUCGGACAUCGUGAGGUUAGUGCAAAGGCAUAAGCUAGCUUGACUGCGAGAGUGACGGCUCGAGCAGGUACGAAAGUAGGUCUUAGUGAUCCGGUGGUUCUGAAUGGAAGGGCCAUCGCUCAACGGAUAAAAGGUACUCCGGGGAUAACAGGCUGAUACCGCCCAAGAGUUCAUAUCGACGGCGGUGUUUGGCACCUCGAUGUCGGCUCAUCACAUCCUGGGGCUGAAGUAGGUCCCAAGGGUAUGGCUGUUCGCCAUUUAAAGUGGUACGCGAGCUGGGUUUAGAACGUCGUGAGACAGUUCGGUCCCUAUCUGCCGUGGGCGUUGGAAGAUUGAGAGGGGCUGCUCCUAGUACGAGAGGACCGGAGUGGACGAAUCACUGGUGUUCGGGUUGUCAUGCCAAUGGCAUUGCCCGGUAGCUAAAUUCGGAAGAGAUAACCGCUGAAAGCAUCUAAGCGGGAAACUUGCCUCGAGAUGAGUCUUCCCUGGGGCUUAAAGCCCCCUGAAGGAACGUUAAAGACUAUGACGUUGAUAGGCUGGGUGUGUAAGUGCAGCGAUGUAUUGAGCUAACCAGUACUAAUGAUCCGUGAGGCUUAACCUU